rnacentral:rRNA from 1 species
UCCGUAGGCGGACUAAUAAGUCAGGGGUGAAAUACCACAGCUCAACUGUGGAACUGCCUUUGAUACUGUUAGUCUUGAAUUAUAUGGAAGUAGAUUGAAUGUGUAGUGUAGCGGUGAAAUGCUUAGAGAUUACACAGAAUACCGAUUGCGAAGGCAGUCUACUACGUAUAUAUUGACGCUAAUGGACGAAAGCGUGGGGAGCGAACAGGAUUAGAUACCCUGGUAGUCC